rnacentral:tRNA from 1 species
GCCUGGGUGGCUCAGUCGGUUGAGCAUCCGACUUCGGCUCAGGUCACCAUCUCACGGUUUGUGGGUUCGAGCCCCACAUCAGGCU